rnacentral:rRNA from 1 species
AGUGAACGCUGGCGGCAGGCCUAAUACAUGCAAGUCGAACGGCAGCACAGCAGAGCUUGCUCUGUGGGUGGCGAGUGGCGGACGGGUGAGGAAUACAUGGGAAUCUGCCCAGUCGUGGGGGAUAACGUAGGGAAACUUACGCUAAUACCGCAUGAUCUGGAGACAGCAAAACCGGGGACCCGCGAGGGCCUGGCGCGAUGGGAUGAGCCGAUGUCCGAUUAGCUAGUUGGCGGGGUAAAGGCCCACCAAGGCGACGAUCGGUAGCUGGUCUGAGAGGACGACCAGCCACACUGGAACUGAGACACGGUCCAGACUCCUGCGGGAGGCAGCAGUGGGGAAUUUUGGACAAUGGGCGCAAGCCUGAUCCAGCAAUGCCGCGUGCAGGAAGAAGGC